ACAGAGGCCCCGAGCGUUAAUAGGAAUCACUGGGCGUAAAGGGCGCGUAGGCGGCGCGGUAAGCGUGCGGUGAAAGCCCGGGGCUCAACCCCGGGUCGGCCGUGCGGACUGCCGGGCUGGAGCACUGUAGAGGCAGGUGGAAUUCCGGGUGUAGCGGUGGAAUGCGUAGAGAUCCGGAAGAACACCGGUGGCGAAGGCGGCCUGCUGGGCAGUAGCCGACGCUGAAGCGCGACAGCGUGGGGAGCAAACAGGA
rnacentral:rRNA from 1 species